rnacentral:lncRNA from 1 species
AAAUGCAGCCAGGGUUAAUUAGAAACGUGUGGAGAUCAGUGGUUCUCCAUUGCCGCUAAGGACAGAACAAGGAGAAAUAGGCUUAUGCUGUAGAAUGAGGGAUUGGGGUCAGACGCACCAAAUAUUCUGACCAAGGAUUUUUAAAUUCUCUCACGUUCAUCUCUUUCUCUGGAAACUUUGAAAAAUGGAUCUAGCUGAAACCCUUGCUCAGAGGUAGGAUAGUCGAGUCAGCCUCUCUAGGUAACAUCCAGCCCAGGAAACCAGUGAAAAGAAAUUUAGCCUAAGCUUUUACUGUACUGAUAGCUAGCUUGACUCCCUCUGGCUGCAAGUUUUGAAAUAGAAGUUUGGGCUUGAUUCAGUUCUCUUUCCAUUCCUAAUCUUGGUAAAGGAUUAAGGAAGCCUUAGCAGGAUGACUUGAGGCUCUGAGAGAAAUACUUAACAGGAGCUGCUGAACUCAAGGGGAAAUAAAGAGCAUGUCUUCCUGUGUGAAGAUGGGAAGACAUCUAGACUGGCACCCCAGCACUAAGCCUACUCAGAGGCAGUGGCCAUAGAGGAGGCCUUCAGCAGCCAACCCGUCUCUAAAACCUACGGCCUGGAGAUCGUCUGCACCCGGCCCGGUGGAUUCCUAAUAGUGAACUGCCAACCCAGUCCGCCCCGAAGCCAUUGAUGAGAGCAGAUCUGGAACUAGUACUGGAGGCGGGUGAUGGGAGAGCAUGGAAGCGUUCACAGGUGCCUUGAGGAGCUGCAGCCAGAGCCGGGUACCAUCACCUAUUGGACAGUUACAGAGGAGACAUUUCCACCGAGCACAGCCUGGUAACCGCACGACGUACACCCCGCCCCCUCGCCCCUGUCUUCCACUCGGAUGCUUGUGAGUGCAGCCACACAAGCACACAAAUCUAAACAGACACCAUUGUGCCAUUCAUCAAAUUGCCG